rnacentral:lncRNA from 1 species
ACAGUGCUUGUUCGGGGCGCUCCGCUGGCUUCUUGGACAAUUGCGCCAUGUGUGCUGCUCGGCUAGCGGCGGCGGCGGCGGCGGCCCAGUCGGUGUAUGCCUUCUCGGCGCGCCCGCUGGCCGGCGGGGAGCCUGUGAGCCUGGGCUCCCUGCGGGGCAAGGUACUACUUAUCGAGAAUGUGGCGUCCCUCUGAGGCACCACGGUCCGGGACUACACCCAGAUGAACGAGCUGCAGCGGCGCCUCGGACCCCGGGGCCUGGUGGUGCUCGGCUUCCCGUGCAACCAGUUUGGGCAUCAGCUGCUGAAAUUCCUCUCCGCCCUUGGGAUUGCGCAUGGAGGGCAAAAUCCCGGUGACUCAUAGAAAAUCUCCCUUGUUUGUGGUUAGAACGUUUCUCUCCUCCUCUUGACCCCGGGUUCUAGCUGCCCUUCUCUCCUGUAGGAGAACGCCAAGAACGAAGAGAUUCUGAAUUCCCUCAAGUACGUCCGGCCUGGUGGUGGGUUCGAGCCCAACUUCAUGCUCUUCGAGAAGUGCGAGGUGAACGGUGCGGGGGCGCACCCUCUCUUCGCCUUCCUGCGGGA